CCACCCGGGUUGAACGGCUGCAUCCACCUGUUGUUAUGGUAGUGGAACCCCUCCAAUUAUAUCAAGAAAUAUAGUUCUUCGUUUAUCUGAUAGGGAUCCUAAUUGUAGCACCCUAGCCUGGACUUCUCAAGGGUGAACAUACUGAUGGAUGGAAACCAACCUAAUGAUUGAUGGUGUUAUCAUCAGGAGGCAGUGGACUAGCGGUGGCGUGAUUCAAAACUAUUGCUGAUUCUGCAUUUGAGGAUUUCACGAAGCCAAGCGAUCCUCUUGUGCUCUGAGGAGCUCUGAUGUAUACAGGCAUCUGGGAGGGAGGGGUCAAGAUUUUCUCACCCCUUUCUGGCCAAUGUGCUCGGCCAUCUGGCCGCUGGCGAUGGCCCUGACCAUGGCGCUGACUUAGAUAGCGAGCCGAACGCCAAGAACUGACGUGCAGGCACGAAGUUACUCAACAUCUUUAGUCCAAGAAGAAGUCGAAACAGAGCAAGCAUAGAGUCUCC